rnacentral:rRNA from 1 species
AAAGGUAAUUAUUAAUAGUUUAAAUUGUUUUAUUUUAUUUUAAUUAAAGUAAUUUUAUUAAAGUUGAUUUUAGUAUGUUUUACAGAAAUAAUAUAAUUAUUUAUAGUGUAGUAGUAUUGUGGAAGAAUUAUGAAAUAUUUGAAAAAUUAAUUUUUUAGGAAGUAGAUUAUUAGUUGUACCUUGUGUAUCAGGGUUUAUCAAUAAUUUUUUAAGGAAUAUUAUAAUUCUCGAGUUGAAAAGAGCUAAUAUAAUUUGCGAGUUAAUGUAAUAUAUUUAUUAGUAAUGUUAUAUUAGUAAUGAAACGUUAAUCGUUUUUUAAGAUAUCUAGUUUUCUAAGAAAUGAAUUUAAUUCAGUUUAGAAUUAGUAAUUGUUUUAAUCUGAUAAGUGAUUAUUUAUUCUAGAAAAUGGUUUGGGGGAUAAGCUUUAAAUCAUACAUUAUAAUUUAUGAAAAAUAUAUAGAAGUGUAGGCUUUAAAUUAGCUAUCUAUUUAAUAAUGUUAUAAAUUAUUUUGUGGAAAUAUGAUUUUAUAAAAGGUUUAAUUUGUAUAUUAGAAUGAUUUAAAUAAUGAAGAUUUAUUUGAAAUAAUGAUAAAAUUAGUAUAAUUGGAUGUAAAAAUAUUUAAUUUAUAUAAUUUAUAUUAAGGAAUUAGGCAAAAAUAAUGUUCGCCUGUUUAACAAAAACAUGUCUUUUAGUGAAUAAUUUAAAGUCGGGCCUGCCCACUGAUAUAAUUGAAGGGCCGCGGUAUUUUGACCGUGCAAAGGUAGCAUAAUCAUUAGUUUUUUAAUUGAAGGCUAGAAUGAAUGGUUUGACGAAGCAUUAACUGUCUCAGUAUAAUAAAUAGAAUUUAACUUUUAAGUUAAAAGGCUUAAAUAAAAAUGAGGGACGAGAAGACCCUAUAGAGCUUUAUAUAUUAUAUAAUAAUUUGUUGUAGAAUGUUAAGAGUGUUUAUAGAAAUAUAUUGUGUUGGGGUGACAUAAAGAUUAGAUAAACUCUUUAUAUAAGAUACAUUGAUGUAUGAAUGAUUGAUCCAUUAUUAUUGAUUGUAAGAUAAAGUUACCUUAGGGAUAACAGCGUAAUUUUUUUUAAGAGUUCAUAUCAACAAAAAAGAUUGCGACCUCGAUGUUGGAUUAAGGAAUAUAAUUAGGUGUAGAAGUUUAAAUUAUAGGUCUGUUCGACCUUUAAAUCCUUACAUGAUCUGAGUUCAAACCGGUGUAAGCCAGGUUGGUUUCUAUCUUUAUUUAUGAAGAAUAUUUUAGUACGAAAGGACCAAAUAUUUGAAAUAAUUUUAAUUUUAAUGAUUAUUAAUA